rnacentral:lncRNA from 1 species
GGGAAAGUUUCAUUUUGUUAUUGCCUGUGUUAGACUUACUUUUGACUGCUGUCAUCUUGACAUAAUUCUUAAAAAAUCCUAAGAAAGGCACAGAGAAAUAAUUUGGUUGGUGGUGUACAGAUGAAGAAUUUCUGUUGUUACUAAGUUGUUAAUGGAGGUGUAGCACUAUUAUAUAGCUUUGCUUACACCAGGAAAAAAUGUAAACCAAGGGCUGUAUUAACCUGUGAAAGUUUAAAACAUGCCUGUGUCACCAUUCAGAUGUUUCUUGUUGCCUGCAAAUGAUUUCUCUACUAAGGUGAAGCAAAAACCAUGUGCAACAGAAAUUGCCUAACUGACACUGAGGAUAUCCUAAGUACUUGUGCUGUCCAAUGAGAAUAAAUAGAUAAUUAUUUUCAAGUCUUCUUGAAGGGCCCGGUCACCAGUCAUAUGGCAUCGUUAUUUCUUCCCUAACGAAGCAUUUCUUAAUGGUUAAUGGAGUGUUCUACUUAAAAGUUCUUGAGGCGUUAUGGCCAAUAGCUGUUUCAGGUAAUGUGUCAUUCUCAGAGUAAAGAGCUUUUCACAACCAUAAAGAUGGAAAAGGCAUCCAGAACCUUAUCUACAUAUAGGAAAUGACACAAAUUCAAGUUGUUCUGAAUUGACUUAAGCUGAAUUGCGGUCUGGUUCAUAAAAUGUCAAAUUGCUGCUAAGAGAGAAACAAAGCAAGCAGGGCUACACUGUUCACUUUCCAUCAGGAAUACCUCUGGAAGACUGGCAAAAAGGAAGCGGAGAUGACCACGCUGUCAGCUCUGCUGUAAGAGUUACCAGUCUUAACGAUCACCACACCUUGAUUUUUCCUGGACCAAUAGAAAGAAGUGACCGUCUUUUUCACUGCUUCGGGAGCAAAUGGAUAACAUUUUGAAAGACUGUAGCAUUAGACUCAUCUGGGGCAUGAGCUGUUGGCUACAAUGAAAGACACUACAAGUUUCUUAGGCUGUGGUUGGAAAAGUCUUUGAGCAUCUAAUAGCAAGUAAGGUAAGUGGUUAUUUUUCUGCUUUUUUAAAAAAAACUUGUAUUUGAAAGAAAAAUGCUAUUCAAUAUUAUAUUAUACUUACCUUAUUUUAUUUUUACCUUAUU